rnacentral:rRNA from 1 species
CUGGGAAACUGCCUGAUGGAGGGGGAUAACUACUGGAAACGGUAGCUAAUACCGCAUAACGUCGCAAGACCAAAGAGGGGGACCUUCGGGCCUCUUGCCAUCGGAUGUGCCCAGAUGGGAUUAGCUAGUAGGUGGGGUAACGGCUCACCUAGGCGACGAUCCCUAGCUGGUCUGAGAGGAUGACCAGCCACACUGGAACUGAGACACGGUCCAGACUCCUACGGGAGGCAGCAGUGGGGAAUAUUGCACAAUGGGCGCAAGCCUGAUGCAGCCAUGCCGCGUGUAUGAAGAAGGCCUUCGGGUUGUAAAGUACUUUCAGCGGGGAGGAAGGGAGUAAAGUUAAUACCUUUACUCAUUGACGUUACCCGCAGAAGAAGCACCGGCUAACUCCGUGCCAGCAGCCGCGGUAAUACGGAGGGUGCAAGCGUUAAUCGGAAUUA